rnacentral:snoRNA from 1 species
GUUCCACCAAAAAAAAAAAGGACAUUUAUCAUUUACCAAAAGCUGGCAAUAACGAUGCCAUGUAAUGAGCCUUAAAGACACGACAUCAAAGUCAUUAAGGUCCCUGAAAAUGGUUACAUCU